UACGGGGGGGAGCAAGCGUUGUUCGGAUUUACUGGGCGUAAAGGGCGCGUAGGCGGCGCAACAAGUCACUUGUGAAAUCUCCGGGCUUAACCCGGAGCGGUCAAGUGAUACUGUCGUGCUAGAGUGCGGAAGGGGCUACUGGAAUUCUCGGUGUAGCGGUGAAAUGCGUAGAUAUCAGGAGGAACACCAACAGGCGAAGGCAGCUCGCUGGGACGGUACUGACG
rnacentral:rRNA from 1 species